CACUCUAAAAAAUAUUCAUGGUGUUUGUAGGUAGAACUUAACAAAAAAGCAUUUUUCUACUUAAAAAAGUAAGUUGUCUACAUGUACACAUUUCAGUGAGUUGACUAAUCAAUGUUAAAAGUCAGUGCAACACAUAAAUUAAUAAACACCUCCUUAACUUAAAUGUUUGAGUAUAUUGAACAAAAUACUUUUAUCAUCAAUCAACAACAGAAAAUAUUAAGUUUGUGUAACAUGUAAAAGUGAGUUUGAACAUCUUUCGUGUUUGAACUGCCCAUAACUGGACCAUAACGAAAAAAUAAUUACAACUACCAUAAAAAAAGAAGAAAUGGAAAAAAACAGAGGUUGGCACCACUACCUGAGUUCAGUGGAAACAAGAAGAGAGGUCGCAAUCCGUUGCCUGAUGGUGUAUCUGAAAGAGAAAGAAGAGGAUCUCUUCAGAGAACAGCUGGAUGGUGAAGAACAGUUCUCAGAAGAAGUGGUAAAGAUCGUAGUCACCAGACGUGCAGCAGUGCCACUUCCAGCCGUCGCUAAAAUUGUGAUUGAAGGAACAGCUGUCCUGGAAGACCUUGAUGUGCCCAGAGCGUGUGCCUUAAUGAUGGGACUUAUAUACGCUCUCAAUCUGAGCUACCCCAAACAAGUAAAGAACACUCUAGAGGUAUUCCAGAAGGUGUUUCUGGAACUUGAUGGGCUUAAAGCCAGCCCACAGGUAAUGUCUCUUAAGUACAAACUUCUGUUAUAAAACAAAUGUAAUUUAGGCUGCAAUAUUCAGAUGUGCUGAUGCUUGUGUUUUUUAUGCAGUCUUAGACAAGUGUAGUUUUGAGAGUUCAUAAUACGUAUAACCUUACCUUUGGAUUGUUGCGUUGUUAAAUAUUAACAUGUUUUGUAAUUUUCUUGAUUCUGUGAUAUUUACCAAGUUGCUAGGUUAAAGUUAAUGUUUAAUAAUACCGGUAAGCAGAUUUGCAAAAACAAAUUGCCUCACUUUGCAAUGUUUGUUUUCUGAGGUAUUUUAGAAGGGUGUGAUUUAAAAUUAUUGUUAUUUGGAAGACUUGAGAUAUAUAUAUAUAUAUAUAUAUAUAUAUAUAUAUAUAUAUAUAUAUAUAUAUGCGCCGCUUUAUUUUUAAUAUACCUUUACAAAUCUUUAUAGUGGUUCUCAAAGUCGGUCAUCAGGCCCCACUGCUCUGCUUCUUUCUAUUAAUAACUAAACACUGUUGAUUGGCUGGUGUGUUCAGUUAAUCAGAAGUUGUAGACACCAUUGUGGAGUAAGAAAAACGAAGUAAAUUGGUAUGUUUUAGCUUCUGAUUCAACACCACCUUGUCCAGGUAAUAAACAUGCUACAUUUUCUUUUGUUACUGAGGUUGUUUGUGGAGGAAUUGUACUGAAAUACAUUAUUGUUUUUGCCCACUCAUUUAUAAUUAAAGGGCUGCUGUAAUGUUUGAUUUAUGUUGUAUGACACAGAAGUGUAUUACUUCGAAAAUGUUAUGCAAUAAACUGUUUCAUCAGUUGGGAUAAUUUAAAUGGCUA
ensembl:lncRNA